rnacentral:lncRNA from 1 species
GGAGAAAAAGAGGAGGAAUGGCAAAGGCUGAUUGACUUUGUCAACUACUUACUUUAAGAAACAUUUGAGAAAGCCAGAAAGCAGAGGGGAUGAAGCUCCACUGUCAUGAGAAUGGGAAGCAGAAGCAGUGGCAGCAUGCACAGACAUCCUUUGAGGGUUUGUUAUAAACACAGAAACUGAUGUCUGGGAAAAGGCUGGAGUGCAAUGGCGCGAUCUCGGCUCACCGCAACCUCCGCCUCCCAGGUUCAAGCAAUUCUCUUGCCUUAGUCUCCCGAGUAGCUGGGAUUACAGGCAUGCACCACCACGCCUGGCUAAUUUUGUAUUUUUAGUAGAGACAGGGUUUCUCCAUGUUAAGGCUGUUUUCGAACUCCUGACCUCAGGUGAUCCGCCCACCUUGGCCUCCCAAAGUGCUGGGAUUACAAGCGUGAGCCACUGUGCCCGGCCCAAGCUGUACUGUUAUUUAAGUGUAAUUUAGUUAGAUGUGUGAACUCACUGAAAUUGUAUACACAAUUUUCUGUGUAUGUAUAAAAUUUGAUAUUUAAAUGUAUUUAUGGCAAGAGUAUCCGUAACUUUUAUGAACAUAUCAAGUGGACAUGAUCACAAAACAGAUGCAAUUUAUUACCAUAGAGCUUCAGAAAUACCCCUUCCAAAAAAUAUGUAUAAUGAUAUGAUACUUACAAUGGAGGCAACUAUGAUAUUUAACUGUCAGUAAACUGAAAGAAAAAAAUGACUCAAAAAGUUUGUAAAGAUGAUAUCUUUC